AAUAAACAUUGGGUUUAGGGUCUGAAGAACUCAUAAAUUGUUGUGUUGUCUAUCAGCUUCAUCUCUGUUAAUAUCCCACGAGAAUGGAGUUAAAUAACAGCGCUACAUGU
rnacentral:snoRNA from 1 species